rnacentral:rRNA from 1 species
AUUCUAGGUAGAAUUAUGAUAAUGACAUUGUCUGCCUAUGUGUCUUGACCAAAUUACGUGCCAGCAGUCGCGGUAAUACGUAGAAGACUAGUGUUAUUCAUGUUUAUUCGGUUUAAAGGGUACCUAGACGACAGAUCAAGCUUUCUGAGAAGAAAAAAAGAAUAAAGGACUAAUCUGUUAGAGUUACUUAUGAGGGGGUUUUAAAGUACUGCUGGUGUAGAGAUGAAAUUCUGUCAUACCUCUUUCUGAAAGGGAAAUUACGGCACAGGUAUAGGCGAAGGCAUCCCCUUAUGUGAUAACUGACGUUGAGGGACGAAGGCUUUAGAUAACGAACAGGAUUAGAUACCCUAGUAGUCGAAGCAGAAAAUGAUGAAUGUCAUAGAUUAGUGUAUAAGUUUAUUCUAUAAAUGAAAGUGUAAGCAUUCCACCUCAUGAGUAAUUUGGCAACAUUGGAAUUGAAAUCAUUAGACCGUUUCUGAAACCAGUAGUGAAGUAUGUUGUUUAAUUAGAUGAUGCGCAAAAAACCUUACCACAAUUUGAAUAUUUAUAUUAUUUUAUUGUUAUCAAUUAUCUUGUAUCAUGUAAGAUAAUUAAUAAUGAGGCAAUGAGAUAUAUUUACAAGCGUUGCACGGCUGUCUUCAGUUAAUGUCGCGAGAUUUUGGUUAGAUCCAUUAAAUUA